GCUAGGUGUGGUGGUGCAUGCCUGUAAUCCCAGCUACUCAGGAGGCUGAGGCAGGAGAAUCACUUGAACCCAGGAGGCAGAGGUUGCAGUGAGCUGAGAUCACACCACUGCACCCUCCAGCCUGGGCAACAGAGUGAGACUCUGUCUCCA
ensembl:misc_RNA Metazoa_SRP Metazoan signal recognition particle RNA